CAAAAAACUCAAUUCAUCUGCAAGCUACUUACCUACUUUAGGGGAAUGUUAAUUGAAAUUACCUCCUCCAGCACAAUACAACCUUGCGAAUUCGUUAUAUGUACCAGUUUAAACACAUGAAUCGUUUGAGAGCGCAAGUGGCUUUGUCGGCUUAUCGCAUGUGGGGUGGCAUAAAUUAAUUAGCCUCCUGAACUCUUGCUUCAGGAGAUAUGGAUGUUCUUUUGAUAGGAAUUGUAUGUUUAGAUGAUCAUAAUUGCUACCACUGAUAAAACAAAUUGCCCGUAACAACAUGACAGUUACAGUGCGCAUUCUAGUUGAACACCUUUGGAUUUUAUGCAGUCGUUUGCUGAGUGAAAACUAGCAUCGAUACCUGGUGCUUUGCCAGCUCUGACUAGUGCAAUGCUGUACAGGAGAAGCCGCGCAGAGGAACAAUGUGGAGCUCAAAUGUACAUCAGGAAGGAUACGCCUGAGUGACGGAAAACAUUUUCCUCACUAACAAGCAGAUGCAACACUUGCGAAUGCUUGUUCACUGCACGAAACCCGCAAGAUCAUGCCUCUCUGUUUCAAACCGUUGCUCGCUUACGAAAGUUACUCUUGUUUCUUCUCAAUCGCCUAUUUCCUAAA